GCCUCUGUAGCUCAGUUGAUUAGAGCGCUGCACCGGAAUCGCAGGGCCGUAGGUUCAAUUCCUACCAGAGGAC
rnacentral:tRNA from 1 species